GGGGGCGACUGGUCUCGACAGGGACAGCGAACCCGUUGAGGCGCACGCCGGGGAGCCGUCACCCCGCGAAAAGACGGCAAAGACAACUGCCGAAAAGGCAUACGCUUACGCCUAACUGAGGCGUAGGUCUCCUGGGAGAGCCCCCCGGACUCCCCAGAGAGGCCUCAUAAAUCCGGGGUCGUCGGACCCCUUGCCCCGUGGGUCCGGCUAAACAAAGGGGCGAAACCUUCCGGGAGGCUCGCUCGCCCGGCCCCGGAAGGAAAACAGGGCGGGCUAAGCGUGUAGGGGCCUUGCGGGUUGGGUCUCUGGACGGGGGUUCGAAUCCCCCCGCCUCCAUAA
rnacentral:tmRNA from 1 species